CGGAGCUCAUUAACUGUUUAAUAAUUGUAAACAAAGCCGCCAAAGAUUGAGAAAAGAUGGACAGGUUCGUAAGUGUCUUCGUGAAUCUGGCCCAAGAUCUAUAACCAGUAUGAUGUUUGUUUUUUCUGUCCACAAAAUAUUUUUUUGUUACCAAUGUAUUUGUUGAUGACAAAUAAAGAAUAUUCCAUUAA